rnacentral:rRNA from 1 species
UACGUAGGGGGGCUAGCGUUGUCCGGAUUUAUUGGGCGUAAAGAGCGUGUAGGCGGCCAGAUAGGUCUGCUGUGAAAACUCGAGGCUCAACCUCGAGAUGUCGGCGGAAACCAUUUGGCUAGAGUCCGGAAGAGGAAAGUGGAAUUCCUGGUGUAGCGGUGAAAUGCGCAGAUAUCAGGAAGAACACCCGUGGCGAAGGGCGGCUUUCUGGGACGGUACUGACGCUGAGACGCGAAAGCGUGGGGAGCGAACAGG